AGGGACUCCAGAGCAGCAAGACCCCUGGCUGAGGUCACUGCAGGACCGGUUACAGUCUUCCAGAGUCAUUCUUGUCUUUUUAUGUUAAUAUGUUUAGGUUGGGGCAUCCAAUGGAUGUGGAAAGUGAAGAACUGCUUGUUCACCAGCUGACCUGCCUUUGCAAGGUGUCCUGAUACGGGUCCCUCCUCUCCACUGCUCACGUUCUGACCACACAGCAAUGAAAAAGAGCAGUGCGAAGGACAUAAACAAG